UGGGGAAUAUUGCACAAUGGGCGCAAGCCUGAUGCAGCCAUGCCGCGUGUGUGAAGAAGGCCUUCGGGUUGUAAAGCACUUUCAGCGAGGAGGAAGGUGGUGAGCUUAAUACGCUCAUCAAUUGACGUUACUCGCAGAAGAAGCACCGGCUAACUCCGUGCCAGCAGCCGCGGUAAUACGGAGGGUGCAAGCGUUAAUCGGAAUUACUGGGCGUAAAGCGCACGCAGGCGGUUUGUUAAGUCAGAUGUGAAAUCCCCGGGCUCAACCUGGGAACUGCAUUUGAAACUGGCAAGCUAGAGUCUCGUAGAGGGGGGUAGAAUUCCAGGUGUAGCGGUGAAAUGCGUAGAGAUCUGGAGGAAUACCGGUGGCGAAGGCGGCCCCCUGGACGAAGACUGACGCUCAGGUGCGAAAGCGUGGGGCAGCAAACAGGAUUAGAUACCCUGGUAGUCCACGCUGUAAACGAUGUCGAUUUGGAGGUUGUGCCCCUUGAGGCGUGGCUUCCGGAGCUAACGCGUUAAAUCGACCGCCUGGGGAGUACGGCC
rnacentral:rRNA from 1 species